CAGUAGCCGCGGGAAUACAGAGGGUGCGAGCGUUAAUCGGAUUUACUGGGCGUAAAGCGCACGUAGGCGGCUAUUCAAGUCAGGGGUGAAUGCCCGGGGCUCAACCCCGGAACUGCCUUUGAAACUAGAUAGCUUGAAUCUUGGAGAGGCGAGUGGAAUUCCGAGUGUAGAGGUGAAAUUCGUAGAUAUUCGGAAGAACACCAGUGGCGAAGGCGACUCGCUGGACAAGUAUUGACGCUGAGGUGCGAAAGCGUGGGGAGCAAACAGGAUUAGAUACCCGUGUAGUCCCUGUCUCUUAUAC
rnacentral:rRNA from 1 species